CCUACGGGAGGCAGCAGUGAGGAAUAUUGGUCAAUGGUCGGGAGACUGAACCAGCCAAGCCGCGUGAGGGAUGAAGGUACAGAGUAUCGUAAACCUCUUUUGUCAGGGAACAAAGGCGGGGACGCGUCCCCGGAUGAGUGUACCUGAAGAAAAAGCAUAGGCGAACUCCGUGCCAGCAGCCGCGGUAAUACGGAGGAUGCGAGCGUUAUCCGGAUUUAUUGGGUUUAUAGGAUGCGCAGGUGGGCUGUUAAGUCAGGGGUAAAAGCCCGGGGCUCAACCCCGGCCCGCCGUUGAAACUGGCAGUCUCGAGUUGGAGAGAAGUAGGCGGAAUGCGCGGUGUAGCGGUGAAAUGCAGAGAUAUCGCGCAGAACACCGAUUGCGAAGGCAGCAUGCCGGCUCCACACUGCCGCUGAGGCACGAAAGCGUGGGUAUCGAACAGGAUUAGAUACCCUUGUAGUC
rnacentral:rRNA from 1 species